UACGUAGGGUGCAAGCGUUGUCCGGAAUUAUUGGGCGUAAAGAGCUCGUAGGCGGCUUGUCGCGUCGACUGUGAAAACCGCGGCUCCAACUGUGGGCUUGGCAGUCGAUACGGGCAGGCUGGAGUUCGGUAGGGGAGACUGGAAUUCCUGGUGUAGCGGUGAAAUGCGCAGAUAUCAGGAGGAACACCGGUGGCGAAGGCGGCAUCCUGGACCGGUAUUGACGCUGAGGCGCGAAAGCCAGGGGAGCAAACGGG
rnacentral:rRNA from 1 species